UACGUAGGGGGCGAGCGUUGUCCGGAAUUAUUGGGCGUAAAGAGCUCGUAGGCGGUUUGUCGCGUCUGCCGUGAAAGUCCGGGGCUCAACUCCGGAUCUGCGGUGGGUACGGGCAGACUAGAGUGAUGUAGGGGAGACUGGAAUUCCUGGUGUAGCGGUGAAAUGCGCAGAUAUCAGGAGGAACACCGAUGGCGAAGGCAGGUCUCUGGGCAUUAACUGACGCUGAGGAGCGAAAGCAUGGGGAGCGAACAGG
rnacentral:rRNA from 1 species